GGCCAGAGACAUACCAGAGUUUCAGGUUUUUUGAGAAAACUAAGCAUGCUUUCCGAGUCUAGUCAAUGGCAAAGCAAGCAGACCCAAGCCCCUGUAAGAAGGCAGAAAGGUAUAUGCAUAGUAUGUUGGAAAUGGAUGGGGUGUGUCAUCUGGUCCAACCUCCUCUCUGAAGUUAUGGAAAGAAUGAUUACUUCUUUCCUGAUGCAGAAAUUAGGACCUGACUCAAUGGGUAGAUUGGUGGGAGACAGGUAUUUCUAGAAGGCCUGGCCAUGUUUUUUUUUUCUAGGAAUGAGAAGGACUACAGAAUAUUAUUUCACCAUUGCUGGGACUGUGGUGAAGACACAACACUACGAAUGAUCAAACAAGAGGACUGUCGAAUUGUACCAUGAGAUCACAUCUGAGAUUAAGCCCCCCGGGUUUAAUCUAGACUAUAGAAGACCAAGAUAAUAUGCAACUAAGUGAGGCAAUAAGGUCAACUUCCCUUCAAGAAAUGGAUUUCCUAAGCCUUCAACAUGAACUUCAUUCAGAAGCAAUAAAGACCCAAGUAGACUUGCCACCGUGUAGCCACUGGCUGGGCCUUGCAAGUCAUCUCAACAGGGGAGAAUUUUUAUCUUCUUUAUCGUUUCCACCUUUGAUGCUCAAAGUUGAACAAUUUGGACUCUCCUUACUUCCCUGCAAAAGGAGUUUGGGAGCUGAACAUACUGGCUUACCAUGAAGGAAGAAAUAUUGUGUGGCUUACUGACCUCCAAAGUGUGCUGCAGACUCUGGAACCCACCAAACCUGAGAUGAAAGGGAACAAAACAGGCUCAUGGUGAGUAUCCCCUGCCUUGCUGUGUCCAGCUUCAACCGUUGAGUCUUCCACAGUCAACAAGGUGAGGGUAAUCCUUUCUAGUGGUACCAGACUUCUGCAUCUCCUUUCCAUAGUCACAUCUUCUGGAUCUACUUUCAAGAACUCUUUCAAUGUCAUUGGACUCAUGCAAACCCCCCUUGGAUAGCUGUCUUAUUCUGAAACUAUCUAAGUAACACACUGCAUUCAUCCAUAACUUAAGUUCCAAGUCUUCAUCUGAGAUGGCUAAUCUUUGGUGUCUACUUGAUUUGGACACACCUAGAAAACAUACCUCUGGGCACCUAUGCAAGAGCAUUUUCAGAUUUAACUCCAGACAAUAACAACUCCAAAUGUUGGCAGCACCAUCCCGUGGGCAAUGGCCCUGGACUGAAUAAAAAGGAGAAAGUAAGCUGAACACUAGCAUUCAUCCAUCUUGCUGAUUCUUGACCCAAUGUGACUAGCUGCCUCGUAUCUCUACCACAGCAUCUUCCCUUCCACAAUAGCCUGUCUCUCCUAAUGUGUGAGCCAAAGGAAACUCUUAAGAAUUUUUUGAAUCACAGCAAUGAGAAAAAUAACUGAUGUAGCAUCUAACAUAAUCAAGGUCAUAGGUUCUGGAGUUUAGCAUGUAGAUAUGUCCUAAAUCAUUAAGCCAGUAUUCUGUCUACCGCAACAGGCAACAUUCCACAUUUUUUUCCCGGUAAUAUGAGGUGUGUUCUACUCUUUGCUCCAAUACUGUAAGAAAUUCAAAUGCAGAAGAACACUCACUUGUACUAUGCAAAGCAAUAGGAGCCAUGGUUACUCUUUAUCAACUAUUGCUAUGACAGGGAAUGUAUUCAGAAUCAUUUGCUUUUUAAAGUCGUGCUUCUCAAGCUAGGCAGGGCAGAAGAUAUUAUUGUCUUCUACAAAUGGAAGAAGUUAGAGACUCAGAAGGCUCCACUUAGCUACUGAAUUCAGACUGGCUUCUCCUCAGUGCUUCUUACCUCUAAAGUUCAGCCAUGGUAACAAGCCUCCCAGAGUCUCCUUAUCUUCUCUUUUCUCAUCUAGUAAGCUCUUUAACUGGAAUCUGGAUUCAUAGCAAGCCUUUCUACUGAAGCACAUAUUUGAAUGUGGAAAGCAGAAGUGAAGAACAUUCUUGAUUAGCACUACCUAGAAUCCAACAGAUCAACAUUGGCAUCUUUCUCACAUUGACAGUCAUCUGCUCUCGGUGUACAUUGUUUUCAAAGAUGCUGUUCCUUUCUUUCUAGUGUAUCCCAUGCUCUUUUCCUGAGACUGCACUGUUCCUGAGUAGAAGUCACACUGCCCGACUUCCCCUACAGCUCCUUGCUCAAAACUAGAAAAAAAAAUUAAUAAGCAACAAAUGAAAUUAAUUAUUUUCUACCUGAGGUCUGCCAUAGUACAUCAGUUGGUUUGGUUCUUGGUUUUGGAGGUCUUUGCUGUUAAAUUGGGUAGUCCAGCUUUCUGCCACAAAGGAAAAGAAAUAUGCUUUGGGUUUCUUCCUAAUGAUCUCAAAUUGAACCCCACAAUAAUCCCCAACUGAACUACUAGUGAUGUGAACUUUUCCUGGGGACACAUACAAACAUCUUUGCACCCCAGCCAUGACAUAAAGAACCAAGGAACAAUUUCAGCCAAGGUUAACUUGGUGAACUGAUAUGCUUAGUAUGGGCACAGGUGAUAGAUUACAGGUUAUUUACAGGUAAAUGUGCGAUUUAGAAGUACUUGAAAAGCUAUACCAUUCAAGAAAAGGUCUUUUUCUCCAGGCGACUUUAACUUCCUAUAUAUCUUCAGGGAGUGUGGGGAGGACUUAGGAGUCUAAGACCUCAGUUAGCUUAGCUCCAGUAGAGGUGGAAUGCAGUAUAGUGAGUGCCUUGGACUGGUUCCUGAAAGCACAUUAAUGGGAAAAAUAAUGGUGAAAUUACAAUAAAUUCUAGAGCUCAGAAUACUGUAUUGAUGUUAGUUUUGAAAAGCACACGGUGGAGAUGUAAAGGCAGACCCUUGAUCAAAGCUUGGAGAGCUAAUGGGAAUUCAUCAUACUGUCCUGGCAACUUUUCUGCAGAGUAAAAAUGAUUUUUUUUCCCUCUGUCAUUCUCUGCUAUUCCUCCAUCUGGCCAUUAGCUCAUUCCAGAGAGCCACAGAUGAUCCCAGAAGGGUAUCCACUUGUAAUGCAUCUGGAAGCAUGGACUUUUGCAAGUGCCAAAGUUGGGGGCUUGGGAAAUGGCACAGAGUGGUGCUGAGCAAGCAUGAGGAUCUGAAUUUGAAUCUCUAGCACCUACUUUGAAAAAGCCAGGCUUAACCACCCAAUGGGGUAGAAUCCCAGCACAGUGGGAACAGGAGAAUGGGGCUUGAUGGUUGUCAUUCUGGCUCCAGGUUUGGUGAGGGGCCCUGUCUCAGAAGAUAAAACCUCCUUUGGCUUCCGAACAGGCACGCUUAGAUGUGCCCACAUACCACACAAAGUCACAUAAGCACAUACAAUGGGGAAAAAAAAAACACCCAAAAUGGCAAUUUAAAAUGCUUGGAUGUUUUAGCUACAUCUAAAGUAGCAAAGAAAGGGACCAUUGGAAUGAAAAAUAAUAAUAAUAAAAAAAAAAACCCUAUUUUUGUUUU
rnacentral:lncRNA from 1 species